CAAGUUAGGGCCACAAUGGACAGCUUCCAAGAAGUCCUAAGAUAGUCCCAGGACAACAGAGUGUAAAAUUGUAGCAGACAGGUUAAUACUCUUCACCCUUAUCCUCUCUCUCAGCACUAUUUGCUCCAAUUUCUUCAUACUCCUUCUCAAAGGCAUGGGCCUCAGAAAACUCUCCUUCCUCCAUGCCCUCAUCCACAUACCAGUACACACAGGCAUGCUUGGCAUACAUCAGGUCAAAGUUGUGGUCCAGGCGAGCCCUGGCCUCAGCAAUGACUGUGGUGUUGCUCAGCAUACACACAGCUGCCUGUACUUUGGCCAGGUCUCCACCAGGUACCACACGGUUGGAGGCUGGUAAUUAGUGCCAACUUUGAAGCCAGUGGGGCACCAGUCCACAAACUAGAUGGUACACUUGGUCUUGAUGGUGGCAAUGGCAGCAUUGACAUCUUUGGGAACCUCAUCAGCAUGGUACUACAGGCAGAAAGCCAUGUAUUUACCAUGGCAAGGAUCACAUUUGGAGCCAUCUGGUUAGCUGGCUCAAAGCAUGCAUUGGUGAUCUCUGCUGCAGUAAGCUGUUCAUGGUAGGCUUUCUCAGCAGAGAUGACAGGGCAUAUGUGGCCAGAGGUAAGUGGAUGCA
rnacentral:lncRNA from 1 species